rnacentral:lncRNA from 1 species
AUUUUAUUGUUACCAUCUUCCCAAUUUUGCAUAUAAGGAAACUGGAGUGUUCAGAAAAGUUAAGAAACUUUCUCAAGUUCUCUUAUAAAGGGUUGAGAUAGAUUUUGGCCCCAGGCUUUUUGACUCCCUGCUUUUUCCACCACAUCAGUAGUAUGGUUCCAGUCUCAGGGGUUAAUGGUGAAAACUGAGUGAGAUAAUGGCAGUGAAAUCGCUUUGGAGCAUGUAAAAUGCUAUCCAGAUGUUAGAUUUAAAAAAAGUAUUUAUCAACAAUAUGCAAUAUUCUCUACAGGGUACAAAUCCUAAGUAAGAUCAACCCCUGGAAGGAGAAAAAAAAAAAGAGAAACGAAGGAUGGCUUAUACAAAACAAAUUCAGCAGACGAAACAAUUAGAAUGUGACCGAUGUGUCUGUCCAUAUCAUCCCUCUACCUAUCAUAGCUGGCACAUAAGUAGUACAGAAGCUAAUACAAUGCACGCUGAAAGCCACGUUGGUAAGUGUGACAAGAGUUCAGAGAAGAGUGAGAACACAUUAGGCUUUGUUGGCCAGAAGGGCUUCAAGGAAGAGAUGAAACUAAUGCUGAGCUUUGAAGGAUGCUGUGACCAGUAGCAUUGGUUGCUUACUCUGUCAUCCAUGCUUCCUUUCCUCUUCAGUAACAGAAUGCCUGGUUGAAUGACAUGGUUACCAUCCUCCCUUGCAGCUAGGUGUGACUAAGUUUGGCUAAGGAUAUGUAAAUAGGUAUGUUACAUAUUAAUUCCAGGAAAUGGAAAGAAAUGUAUGGUUCUCCAUCCCUUCCUCCAUCUUGCUGCUUGGAACUUGGGCAUGAUAGCUGGAAUUCUAGCAACCACUCGGACCCAGAGGGUGAGGAACACGCUAUAGUAAUGGCAGAGGAGAGAGCUGGUUGGGGCGUGGGUUCCUGCUCAUUCUGAAAUUGCCGUGCCAGCCCUGGGCUACCUACCUGAGGAACUUUCUUAUGUGAAAGAAAAAUAAUGUCCAAUCAUUCAGCUAUUGUUAUUUUAGGUCACAUGCAGGCAAGACACUGAUACAGAUGGGAGGACUUAAAUUUGCUAAGUGAGGGUUUACUAAACUGAG